UCCUGAUCAGCACCAGCAGUCAGCUCCUUUACAAUGGAACCCAUUUAAGGUUCGGAGUUACUCAGGCAUUGCCAGGAGUUCAAAAGGAUAUACGCACAGAUAAAGGAAAAUGAUGUACAGAAAAUCGAAGUGAGGUACAGAAAACGGAAGUGAGGUACAGAAGACGGAAGUGAGGUACAGAAAACGGAAGUGAGGUACGGAAACUGCUGGGUUGCUUACAGCUCGCGUUUGCCUUCUUAGCACGGUUUGAGAGG
rnacentral:lncRNA from 10 species